rnacentral:rRNA from 1 species
AGUGAACGCUGGCGGUAGGCCUAACACAUGCAAGUCGAACGGCAGCACAGUAAGAGCUUGCUCUUACGGGUGGCGAGUGGCGGACGGGUGAGGAAUACAUCGGAAUCUACUUUUUCGUGGGGGAUAACGUAGGGAAACUUACGCUAAUACCGCAUACGACCUACGGGUGAAAGCAGGGGAUCUUCGGACCUUGCGCGAUUGAAUGAGCCGAUGUCGGAUUAGCUAGUUGGCGGGGUAAAGGUCCACCAAGGCGACGAUCCGUAGCUGGUCUGAGAGGAUGAUCAGCCACACUGGAACUGAGACACGGUCCAGACUCCUACGGGAGGCAGCAGUGGGGAAUAUUGGACAAUGGGCGCAAGCCUGAUCCAGCCAUACCGCGUGGGUGAAGAAGGCCUUCGGGUUGUAAAGCCCUUUUGUUGGGAAAGAAAAGCAGCAGGUUAAUACCCCGCUGUCCUGACGGUACCCAAAGAAUAAGCACCGGCUAACUUCGUG